GCUUGCUUUGGCAGAACAUGUACUAGAACUGGAAUGAUACAGAGAAGAUUAGCAUGGCUCCUGCACAGAGAAGACACACAAAUUCAUGAAGUGUGUAUAUGUAUU